UACGUAGGGACCAAGCGUUGUUCGGAUUUACUGGGCGUAAAGGGCGCGUAGGCGGCAAUUCAAGUCAUCUGUGAAAUCUCCGGGCUUAACCCGGAACGGUCAGAUGAUACUGCUGUGGCUAGAGUCCGGUAGGGGAACACGGAAUUCCCGGUGUAGCGGUGAAAUGCUUAGAUAUCGGGAGGAACACCAGUGGCGAAGGCGGUGUUCUGGGCCGGAACUGACGCUGAGGAGCGAAAGCGUGGGUAGCAAACAGG
rnacentral:rRNA from 1 species